GACGAACGCUGGCGGCGUGCUUAACACAUGCAAGUCGAACGAAGUGGCGAACGGGUGAGUAACGGGUAAUCAACCUGCCCUUCCGUGGGGGACAAGAGUUGGAAACGACUGCUAAUACCGCAUACUGAAGGAGCGGAUUGCGUCUGCUUGGCUAGUUGGAGGGGUAACGGCCCACCAAGGCGAUGAUCAGUAGCCGGUCUGAGAGGGUGAACGGCCACAUUGGGACUGAGACACGGCCCAGACUCCUACGGGAGGCAGCAGUGGGGAAUCUUCCGCAAUGGACGAAAGUCUGACGGAGCAACGCCGCGUGAGUGAUGACGGCCUUCGGGUUGUAAAGCUCUGUUAAUCGGGACGCGGUACCGGAAUAGAAAGCCACGGCUAACUACGUGCCAGCAGCCGCGGUAAUUC
rnacentral:rRNA from 1 species